GAUGAACGCUGGCGGCGUGCCUAAUACAUGCAAGUCGAGCGAACGGACGAGAAGCUUGCUUCUCUGAUGUUAGCGGCGGAGGGGUGUGUAACACGUGGAUAACCUACCUAUAAGACUGGGAUAACUUCGGGAAACCGGCGCUAACACCGGGACAUCUUUUGAACCGCAUGGUUCAAAAGUGAAAGACGGUUUUGCUGUCACUAAUAGAAGGAUCCUCGCUGCAUUAGCUAGUUGGUAAGGCAACGGCCUACCAGGGCAACAAAGCUUAGCCGACCUGGGAGGGUGUCCGCCCACACUGGAACUGAGACACGGUCAAGCCUCCUACGGGGGGAGGCAGUAGGAAAUCUUCCGCAAUGGGCGAAGGCCUGACGGAGCAACGCCGCGUGAGUGAUAAAGGUCUUCGAAUCGUAAAACUCUGUUAUUAGGGAGGAACAUAUGUGUAGGUAACUGUGCACAUCUUGACGGUACCUAAUCAGAAAGCCACGGCUAACUACGUG
rnacentral:rRNA from 1 species